UACGAAGGGUGCAAGCGUUACUCGGAAUUACUGGGCGUAAAGCGUGCGUAGGUGGUUUUUUAAGUCCGUUGUGAAAGCCCUGGGCUCAACCUGGGAAUGGCAGUGGAUACUGGAAAGCUAGAGUGCGGUAGAGGGUAGUGGAAUUCCCGGUGUAGCAGUGAAAUGCGUAGAUAUCUGGAGGAACAUCAGUGGCGAAGGCGGGUCUCUGGGCCGAAACUGACGCUGAGGAGCGAAAGCGUGGGGAGCAAACAGG
rnacentral:rRNA from 1 species